GUUUUGGCUCAGUGGUUGAGUGCUUGCCUAGCAUGCAUGAGGCCCUGGUUUCGAUCCUUGGUAUCAAACA
rnacentral:tRNA from 1 species